GUCAUAUGGGCGUCAUAUGAUAGCUUUGUGUGAGAAAAGGGUGAAAUUUCAGACAUAUUUCACUGAAAAUCUCAAAUACUAAACGCAUUAUGUCACAUGGCUCCCACUGAAGCAAUUUGAUUGGCUACCAAUGACAUCACUGUCAAUUUAAUAGGCGCAUGUUUUGGGAGGAGCCUAAUCAUCCAGUCCUGUCAAUCAUUGCUACGAAUGUAUAUAAGCAGCAGUCAUUGCUCCGUUCCAGUGGCAAUUCUUCCAGCAUCUCUCCACCACCCCUUCUCCUCCUCUAAUUCUUUCUCUUUUUUCUCCAUACUGUUUCAUUAUAGGGUGGGUUCUUACUCUGAGCUCAAGCCAAGCCUCGGGUUUCGAGCCUCCUUCAUGGAAAGCAAGCCAAGUUUAUUUACCAUUACCUGCCAGGAUUGAAUGGGCAGGUGAACUCGUGAAAUGGAUAUCUGGACUGAAGAAUAAGAUUUGUGAACCUUAAUGGAAGACAACAUUUUCAAUAUACAGGACAUAAUAUGAGAAGCACCAACAUGCUAUAGUUGCUCAGAGGAGUACAAGCCAGUACAGGGAUAUAGAAACUGUCCAGAACACUGAUGUCCACUUACAGAACUUAUUUCUAUGGAUACAGUUUGUACUAAAAGGAAUAGUAAGAACAGAAAAAAAAUAAAAAAAAAUGUGA